rnacentral:lncRNA from 1 species
CUGACAUUUUAUAUUUGGUUUUCAUUUUGAAUGUCGUAUGUGUGUGGGUGGGUGGAGGGGGAUUGGGUUGGGUUUGGUUGAUUUUGUUUCUUGCCUAUUUAUGAAGAACAUAGUAUUGGUCCUCUGACCUUUUUCACCCCUUUGUGGAAAAUGAUUUUACCUUUCAAUCUUCUACUUCAUUGUUCUCAUUUGUUUCAAAAAUACAUGUCUACUAACUGUUUUAAAUACUCUUGUUGAUUACUCAAAAAUAUCAUAGGUCGCACCAUAUGAGAUAUAUCGGGUUGAUAAAUGUGACGACACAACUGCCACUUCUAUGCUAAACGAUGAAAAUACUCAUCAAUCAAAUGGGGACAUUGCAGCACAAGAGAACCAACUUGUGGGCCAGAAAGGAAAGGUGACAUAAUUCUACCUCUCUUAAACUGUUAAGAAUUGAAUUAUUCCUGAAGUGAGACAAUAACUCGUAGCAAUUUGGUAAAGAGUUCAAAAAAAUUGGAACAGGGUUACAGAAAGUAGCAAGAAGCAAACUUUUUACUUUCCACUAAAAGAACCGUUGAUAGACAUUGAUAGUAUAUGCAGACUCUGUUGUAUUAGCCCGACAAUAAAUUUCCCACAUAAUUAAUAAAUUCUAUCUGAGUGAUGACUUGACCUUUGAAGUUGAGUUCAUAUUUGAAAUUUUUUAUGAGGAAAUAAUUCCUAAUGAUGGAACCCAACCCUGAGUUGUCAUAAUAACAAUCUAACAAUUUAGAGGGAACAUCAAAUCAUGGCCACAUCAGUUAUUGGUAAUAGGUGUAUAUAAUGCGUGGUUCAGUUUUUAGUAAAUGGUUGUAGGUACUAAAUUUAAAUGUAACUGCCAGGAUGUGUUGGAUUUGAACUAUAACAAUUUAAAGGACUCUAGUUCAUAUUCCCUUUCUCAAGCCGCUAUUGGGGUUUUCACUAGUAUCACUUCAAGCCUAUUGGGGUCUUUGGGUUCAUCUGUUGUUUGUGGAUACAAACGUGCAUCAGGAGAUGGUCAAAAACUCGGUAUACCCAAUGAGGAGGAAGCUCUCGAACUUUGCA